rnacentral:rRNA from 1 species
UGGGGAAUCUUCCGCAAUGGGCGCAAGCCUGACGGAGUGACGCCGCGUGGGGGACGAAGGCCUUCGGGUCGUAAACCCCUGUCAGAGGGAAAGAAGGUGACCGGCGUGAACAGCGUCGGGCAUUGACGGUACCUUCAGAGGAAGCCCCGGCCAACUCUGUGCCAGCAGCCGCGGUAAGACAGAGGGGGCAAGCGUUGCUCGGAAUCACUGGGCGUAAAGGGCGCGUAGGCGGGCGGAGAAGUCGGUCGUGAAAUCCCUGAGCUCAACUCAGGGGGGUCGGCCGGGACUCUUCGUCUUGAGGGGGGCAGAGGAGCCUGGAAUUCCCGGUGUAGCGGUGAAAUGUGUAGAGAUCGGGAGGAACACCGGUGGCGAAGGCGGGGCUCUGGGCCCACCCUGACGCUGAGGCGCGAAAGCGUGGGGAGCAAACGGGAUUAGAUACCCCGGUAGUCCACGCGGUAAACGAUGACGACUAGGUGUGGGGGGGUUCAGUCCCUUCCGUGCCGCAGCUAACGCAUUAAGUCGUCCGCCUGGGGAGUACGGCCGCAAGGUUGA